rnacentral:rRNA from 1 species
GACGAACGCUGGCGGCGUGCUUAACACAUGCAAGUCGAACGAUGAAGCCUAGCUUGCUAGGUGGAUUAGUGGCGAACGGGUGAGUAAUACGUGAGUAACCUACCUUUAACUCUGGGAUAAGCCUGGGAAACUGGGUCUAAUACCGGAUACGACCAAUCUCCGCAUGGAGUGUUGGUGGAAAGCGUUAUGUAGUGGUUAUAGAUGGGCUCACGGCCUAUCAGCUUGUUGGUGAGGUAACGGCUCACCAAGGCGACGACGGGUAGCCGGCCUGAGAGGGUGACCGGCCACACUGGGACUGAGACACGGCCCAGACUCCUACGGGAGGCAGCAGUGGGGAAUAUUGCACAAUGGGCGCAAGCCUGAUGCAGCGACGCCGCGUGAGGGAUGACGGCCUUCGGGUUGUAAACCUCUGUUAGCAGGGAAGAAGAGAAAUUGACGGUACCUGCAGAGAAAGCGCCGGCUAACUACGUGCCAGCAGCCGCGGUAAUACGUAGGGCGCGAGCGUUGUCCGGAAUUAUUGGGCGUAAAGAGCUUGUAGGCGGUUUGUCGCGUCUGCUGUGAAAGGCCGGAGCUUAACUCCGUGUAUUGCAGUGGGUACGGGCAGACUAGAGUGCAGUAGGGGAGACUGGAAUUCCUGGUGUAGCGGUGGAAUGCGCAGAUAUCAGGAGGAACACCGAUGGCGAAGGCAGGUCUCUGGGCUGUAACUGACGCUGAGAAGCGAAAGCAUGGGGAGCGAACAGG